GUCUCGGUAGUCUAAAGGCUUAGGACGCUCGCACGGAAUGCAAGAGAUCCGGGUUCGAUUCCCAGCCAAGGCA
rnacentral:tRNA from 1 species